CUCCGGUUGAUCCUGCCGGACCCGACUGCUAUCAGAGUGGGACUAAGCCAUGCGAGUCAACGCCGCAAGGCGUGGCAUACGGCUCAGUAACACGUAGUCAACAUGCCCAGGGGACGUGGAUAACCUCGGGAAACUGAGGAUAAACCGCGAUAGGCCAAGGUUUCUGGAAUGGACACUGGCUGAAACCUAUAUGGCCCCUGGAUUGGACUGCGGCCGAUCAGGCUGUUGGUGAGGUAAUGGCCCACCAAACCUGUAACCGGUACGGGCUUUGAGAGAAGGAGCCCGGAGAUGGGCACUGAGACAAGGGCCCAGGCCCUAUGGGGCGCAGCAGGCGCGAAACCUCUGCAAUAGGCGAAAGCUUGACAGGGUUACUCUGAGUGAUGCCCGCUAAGGGCAUCUUUUGGCACCUCUAAAAAUGGUGCAGAAUAAGGGGUGGGCAAGUCUGGUGUCAGCCGCCGCGGUAAUACCAGCACCCCGAGUGGUCGGGACGAUUAUUGGGCCUAAAGCAUCCGUAGCUUGUUCUGCAAGUCCUCCGUUAAAUCCACCUGCUCAACAGAUGGGCUGCGGGGGAUACUACAGGGCUAGGAGGCGGGAGAGGCAAACGGUACUCAGUGGGUAGGGGUAAAAUCCUCUGAUCCACUGAAGACCACCAGUGGCGAAGGCGGUUUGCCAGAACGCGCUCGACGGUGAGGGAUGAAAGCUGGGGGAGCAAACCGGAUUAGAUACCCGGGUAGUCCCAGCUGUAAACGAUGCAGACUCGGUGAUGGGUUGGCUUCGAGCCAACCCAGUGCCGCAGGGAAGCCGUUAAGUCUGCCGCCUGGGGAGUACGGUCGCAAGACUGAAACUUAAAGGAAUUGGCGGGGGGAGCA
rnacentral:rRNA from 1 species